ACGAACGCUGGCGGCGUGGAUAAGGCAUGCAAGUCGAACGGAACUUAUUUGGUUUAAGAUGCGAUUACAUCAAGUCAAAAAUUUUAUAAGUUUAGUGGCAAACGAGGUAGGAAUACUUAGGUACGUACCCCGAAGUCGGGCACAACCAGCCGAAAGGUUGGCUAAUUCCCGAUAUUGUGGCAACACGAAACCCGCAAGGGGCUUCGGGAGCGGCCUACGGGCUAUCAGCUUGUUGGUAGGGUAACGGCCUACCAAGGCUAUGACGGCUAGGAGGCGUGAGAGCGUGACCUCCACCGAUGGAACUGAGACACGGUCCAUACACCUACGGGUGGCAGCAGUCGAGAAUAUUCGACAAUGGGCGAAAGCCUGAUCGAGCGACGCCGCGUGAAGGAUGAAAUUCUUCGGGAUGUAAACUUCUUUUGACAGGGAAGAACACAAUGACGGUACCUGUCGAAUAAGGGCCUGCAAAUCUCGU
rnacentral:rRNA from 1 species